rnacentral:rRNA from 1 species
UGGGGAAUUUUGCACAAUGGGGGAAACCCUGAUGCAGCGACGCCGCGUGAUUUAGAAGGCCUUCGGGUUGUAAAAAUCUUUUCUAUGGGAAGAAAAUGACAGUACCAUAGGAAUAAGGACCGGCUAAUUACGUGCCAGCAGCCGCGGUAAUACGUAAGGUCCGAGCGUUGUCCGGAAUCAUUGGGCGUAAAGGGUACGUAGGCGGGUAAGCAAGUUAGAAGUGAAAUCCUAUAGCUCAACUAUAGUAAGCUUUUAAAACUGCUCAUCUUGUGGUAUGGAAGAGAAAGUGGAAUUCCUAGUGUAGCGGUGAAAUGCGCAGAUAUUAGGAGGAAGACCGGUAGCGAAGGCGACUUUCUGGCCAUAACCUGACGCUGAGGUACGAAAGCGUGGGUAGCAAACAGG